UUAUUCUUUUAGUUUAAAGCCAUUCCCCCUUGUUUAACACUAUUGAAAGAGGUGACUGUCCCCUUCUACUCUGCCCUUGUGAUGCUUCAUCUGUAGUACUAUGUCCAGGCCUGGGGCCUCCAGCACAAGGAAGAUGUGGAUCUGUUGGAGUGGGUUCAGAGGAGGGCCAUGAAUAUGCUCAAUGGGCUAGAGCACAUCUCCUACAAAAAUAUGCUGAGGGACCUGGGCUUGUUCAGCCUGGAGAAGAGGAGGUUCCAAGAAGACCUCACUGAGUAGGUCUCCAGUAGUGUUCCAAUAGAUAAAGAAAGUUUCUAAAAAAGUCGGAGAUUGGUUUUCACUGCAACAUUUUACCAUAAAAUUCCCAGCACAGCAUGCUAAAAUGUAUGCCUUUCACCUGUUUGGAUUAUCUGUUCUAGAAAAUCUAGCUGGUAACAGUCUCUGGCUUGUUUGGUUCCUGCCUUGUAGCACAACUUUUUCAAAUUGUUUUGCUCUAUGAGGAGCAAAGAGAGGCUUCUCACCACAUGUACUGAGCUGUCACCACUAUAUCAAUAGUUUUGAGCAGUCACAGUUUUCUAUACUCUAAUUAAACCUCCAAAUAGAGACUGAGCUAAUUAAAAAGACAACAAAUGAAAUAUGAAACAAACUGGCUGUAACUGUGUGUUUACACGAUGCAGAUACCUGCUGAUGAAUGUGUUUCUGUUACUCUUUUCCCUCCCGCUUCUUUCAGCUACAAAGCCAACAGCUGCGGGCACAUGGAGCAUCAACAGCAAUUCAAGAUUCAGAUGUUAAAUCCUGCUGUAUUUUUUCUUCACAGACAACCUCAAAGAACUUUCAAGACAUAUUAAAAACGGCUUUCCUGGCUCCAUCAUAAUUGCAGUGAGAACAUACUUGAAACGUUGAAUGAUCUUCAAGUAAGUUUACAUCAAAUGAAAAAAAAUUCAUCAAAACUGGGUAUUUAUUAAUGCAAAUAUUAGUUUCUCUCUGGACAGCUUUGCAGUUUUAGAAUCUUAGGUACCAUCUUAUGACAUGAAAUUAGUUAAAUUAGCCAUCCUCUUUGCCAGUUCAUUG
rnacentral:lncRNA from 1 species